GUUCAGCCCUCGCUCCUCUCCUCUCUCUCUCUCCCCAAUGCUGCCUGGAUACAGGGUGAAACUCUGCCACCUAUUGGACAAGGAGUUAACAGCAGCCUCCAGCCAAGUGGAGGUGCAGGGAUGAGAUAUGGCACCAGGGCUGCUGGCAAUUACUUCAGAAGAAAUGGGCUUUGAUGGGUUCUGUAAUUCAUACAUGAUAAGGAGGGAGGGUGUCUGGUGGCGUGGAGGGGGUUUAGAGAAGCAGAACUUUCUGUGGUGGAGCUGUGUUUGAGUGGAGAGUGAGUGAGGAGAUGGUGUUGACCUUUCAUUUACCUGUUUGUGUGGAGCUGAGAGCAGCGCUGGUUCUUUAAGUCGGAGGAUAUUGAAGGAGAAGGAAACCAAGGAGCCAGUUUCACUGUGUGCUCGUUACAUUAGGAGGAACUCAUGUGACUCCAGAACUCACAUUUCUUCCUGAUUAAAGCUGUGAACGUAGUGAGUGGAAUUUAUUUGGGAUUCAGUUGAAUGAAUAAUAGGUUUGAUGAGAUCAGCUCGAACGCCCUGAGUGACAGAAUAAUCUGCAGAUGAACUGACAGAAACGGUUGUGGUUCUGUAAGAGUAACAUGACAAACGCUCCGGUCACCGCUGCACAUGGUUCUGUAAACAAGCGUCCGUGACCCAGAGACACACAAUGUUGCGUGGACGCACAGCUGCCCGUGUGUUGGCUCUUCAUAAAUAAGCCUGUUUUUACGCCGGCUGCUCCGUCUUCUUUAAAAGCUCCAUAAACAGCCGCUGUGUAAAUCAGCGCGGCCACAGAUGGACUCCUCCAAUACUAUGGGAUCGCGUUUCGCCACCGAGGGACUAAUAAACAUCAGCGUCCGGACAGAUAGUGGAUAUUGUGUGUCACUGAGUGGAUUGCACACCUACAUCAUGGCUGCAGCCACGCGCUUGUAGAAGCGGUGGAAGGAACCAGGUGAGCGUGAGUGGCUGUGGUAGAAGGUACCAGGUGAGCGGCUGCGGUAGAAGGAACCAGUUGAGCGGUAGAAGGAACCAGGUGAGUGGCUGCGGUAGAAGGAACCAGGUGAGUGUGAGUGGCUGUGGUAGAAGGUACCAGGUGAGCGGCUGCGGUAGAAGGAACCAGGUGAGCGGUAGAAGGAACCAGGUGAGUGGCUGCGGUAGAAGGAACCAGGUGAGUGUGAGUGGCUGUGGUACAAGGAACCAGGUGUGCGGCUGCGGUAGAAGGAACCAGGUGAGUGUGAGUGGCUGUGGUACAAGGAACCAGGUGAGCGGCUGCGGUAGAAGGAACCAGGUGAGCGGUAGAAGGAACCAGGUGAGUGGCUGCGGUAGAAGGAACCAGGUGAGUGUGAGUGGCUGUGGUACAAGGAACCAGGUGAGCGGCUGCGGUAGAAGGAACCAGGUGAGCGGUAGAAGGAACCAGGUGAGUGGCUGCGGUAGAAGGAACCAGGUGAGUGUGAGUGGCUGUGGUACAAGGAACCAGGUGAGCGGCUGCGGUAGAAGGAACCAGGUGAGCGGCUGCGGUAGAAGGAACCAGGUGAGCGGCCGCGGUAGAAAGAACCAGGUGAGCGGCCGCGGUAGAAAGAACCAGGUGAACCAGGUCUGUGUUCAUCUGAAACCCGCUCCUGGACCUUUCCUCCUUUUCUUUCACGUCUUUCUAUUCAGCUGUUGACCUGAGUGGGCACAGCUGCAGUGGAGGCGGUAAACGUUUCCACCUCAGGCUGAAGGGCCGGUCCUGGUCCCUGGUGCCGGGCCGGGCCGGGCCGGGCCACCCAGAGGCACCUGGUUUCCUCAGGGACCUCGGCCGCGCUCCAUUGGCUGCUUCUUUUUGUUGUGCGAGCUUGUGUUGGAUGCGGGCGGCGGUGCAGCUCUCAGCUCUCAGACUUGGCAGGAGCUGAGUUGUUUUUGGGAGCCAGUCAAACGUUCCAAAUAUGCCCAUUGAUGGUCUUUAAGCAUUUGGCGCGACCACGGUCCCUCUGAAAAAUUUCCUGAGAUUCCUUUUAAGAGCUUUUUAUGAGCAUGUGAUGCCAAGAGGCUCAACUUCAAGUCCACACGAUGACACUUCAGACGGUCAGGCCGUGACUGGAUGAAUGUAAUUAACGCGAUGUUAAUAGAUCAGAUUGUUUGUCGACAACUCGUGUUGAACCAGAACCGUCUGUGUUUAGUCCAGUAAGUCCUGCUUACGUAGCGGUGGAGGUUCCGUGGCCAAACGGAGCUGCUGGCAUUUCGGUUCCAGUGAGAACACGUCUCUCUCCUGCUCCGUAGCUCUGCUAAUAGAAGGCUCCACCUCCCCUCCCCCAUCAGAUAACAAGUCGCUGCAUGCCCCUUCCUCUCAGUGCCAUAAUUAAAUUACUGGACCACACUGGAGCAUGUUCUAGUGCUGUUAACAAGCCAAACAAAGGAACCGAGGCUCCGACAUUCAUGUCACUGAAUAUCUUCCCUGCUCACGGCCGGAGGAUGUAAUUAUGACCCCUGGUCAGAAUGUUGUCAUUGUGUUUUGUUCCCGAGUGAUUCAUGAGGAGAGACUCAAAACGAGGGAGUUUUGUGUUAAAUGGCUGGAGGUCUGCAGACGUUCCCACAGUGGAACCAAGGAAAACAACAGAACAUGCAACAGUCCCUGCAGCAUCGCUGACGCUGAUACUGGGAUUAAUGUGCGGCUCACAUUCAGCUUCUGGGAAGUCAAUCAGCCACAAAAUCUCCAGUGACACAAUCUCGGCGAACAGACUCCAGUUCAGAUGAACCAGUAUCACACACACUAGGCCUCGGCCAAACUGGAGCAGCACCAGAACAAAUCUUGUCUCACGUCCAUGUCUGAAAUAGCGCGGCUGACAGAGUGAAUCCCCGCGGAGCCGGGGAAAAUAGAGCAGAGGCGUCAGGAACGCGCGUCGGUGGCGGGAUAAUUUGGGACGUGGUUGGAGCUGAUGUGGUUCCUCCCACACGCAACUGAGACGGAACAAACGCUUUGUCAAGGUGAGCGCAGUAGUAGUGAAUGGAGAUCUCUGUAAAAUGAGUGGCAGCUCAGCUUUCAGGGGUCAAAUAUGUGUGCACCAGUAGAAGCCUCACUUACCCAGAAUGCACUGCAGCAGAAGCUAGACUCGGUUGAACAAUUAUAAAACCUGAUUUUUGAGGAUUUUAGGUUUGAGCAGAAGUAAAUUUAUGUCAACAAUAUUCAAAAGCUUCAAACACUGGAUCCAGUGAUGAAUUGAAAACUUCUGAGUGAUCGAUGAAGUGACUGAUUUGAGGAGAAGAGACACUGAUCGUGCUCCUGAUGAGGAUGGAUGGAGCUUGUUUCCAGCGUUAUUCAUAUUUCCGGGCCGUGGUUCUUUGCUGCCGGUUCCGUGCGGCUUCAGACCGAGGCGCUGCCUCAGCAGCAGAGGCUCAACCCGCCCCUGCAGACGCGCGUUUCCUCACUGCCGCCGUCGCAGUCGGCUGCUGGCUCGCCUCCAACGCUUUGAGGCGUGAACCUUCAAAAAGCGUUUGACUCUUUGUUCUGUGUGUUUUGCAGCGACGCGUCUCUUCUUCUUGUUACUUUGAAGAUUCUAAAGAGCUGUGAGAAUUAGGCCGAUGAAAGAUGGAUCUCAGUUUUAUUUUCCUGUCUGUGGUUUGAGUGGCUCCCGUUUCUGUUCUAUCCAUUAAAAUGUUUUUGCGACUGUUCUGGAGUCUUCAGAGAUUUAACGACUCCGAGGUUUAAUAGGUACAGUUAAAAACACCAGAGUUGUUGUCUCCUGCUGGAUUCGCCUUCCAACAUGACUACAUUUCCCACGAUACAGUGGGGUCUCAGUCUGGGAUUCUCGCAGAACUUAUCGUCAUCAAACAGAGGAAAUUGGUUUCAUCAUUAAAUCCCACACCACAUUCAGCAUCGCCCUCACAGAUCCUUAAAUAUGAAAGAAAAAUGAGACAGAAUCAGAGAUGAGACGACGAAGAAAUCCACAAAUGAUGGAGUCUGAUCUCUGAGAUCAACAAGCGGAGGCAAGGGAAUAAAGAGAGAAAAGGAGAGCAGGAGGGCACAACGUGUUGACGGAGCCGAAGCUUCAGGCUGGACUCAUCCUGACCCUCCUCCUCCUCCUCCUCCUCAGCCUCGGGCGCUGCUGUUGCUGUCUCCAUCCCAUCAUCCCCCUCCACUCCAUCACUUUCCCUCUGUCUGAACUCCAGGUGCACCCGUCGUGUCCCACUGACUAAUUAACCACAUUAGCAACAUGAGAGUCAAGUUGAAAAACCCAACAGUGUUCUUUAGUUCACAUAAAGAAUAAUUAUAGAUUGUUGUUCUAGAUUAUUGGACAUUUAUGGUGUUUUAAUCUUAGCGAGCAUAAGAUUCCACCACCAGAACAAACUUGUGACUUUACUUGAAUUUAUUUGAGCUUGUUUCAUUUAAUUUCGUCCUUUUAAUAUAUUUUUUUUUUAAUAAAUAACACUAAAUUGCACCAACCUGCUUUUUCUAGUUAACAUAAAGCUGUUAGUGUCUGAGUGGUGGCUUCCUCCAGAAGCAGAGCAGAGCGAGAACGGGACAAACUGGUGGACUUACUCUCACCAGCUGACUCCUGUCUUUCUGCAGCAAAUAUUUGUCUAAUGGAAGGAAGGGCGGACUUUGAAUCCUGCUAUUGUUUCUCGGAUGUAAGUGUACAUUGUUUGGAUUCGCUUUUCUAAACAAUUACGGAACACAUACACGCAAAGGUUAAGGAGUUAAGUAACGCAAUAGAUAUAAUCCACAGAGCAAAGAGACACAAACAGCUGGAAACGUAAGCGCACAGUCACGCACACAGGAAUGGAAACACAUGUCAGAUUAGACUUUUAACGAGCAGAUUAACGGGGGGUGUAAACGUGGCACAAGCUCAGCUGCAAACCCUGGAUUUAUAGAAUGUUUCUACUGAUACACUCCAGAUGUGCCAGCAGCGACAAACAUAUGACAGAGGGCAUCUGUCGAACAACAGUUGGAUUUCUGAGAGAUGAUGAGUUUGAGGGACAGACGGGAAAAGUCACAGACACAAAAGUCCCAGAGGCCUAGAGGAGAGUAGGACCUGAGUCCUAGAGGACAGUCGGACCUGAGUCCUAGAGGACAGUCGGACCUGAGUCCUAGAGGACAGUCGGACCUGAGUCCUAGAGGCGAGUAGGACCUGAGUCCUAAAGGACAGUAGAACCUGUGUCCUAGAGGAGAGUAGGACCUGAGUCCUAGAGGAGAGUAGGAUCUGAGUCCUAAAGGACAGUAGAACCUGAGUCCUAGAGGAGAGUAGGACCUGAGUCCUAGAGGACAGUCGGACCUGAGUCCUAGAGGACAGUCGGACCUGAGUCCUAGACAACAGUAGGACCUGAGUCCUAAAGGACAGUCGGACCUGAGUCCUAGAAGACAGUAGGACCUGAGUCCUAGAGGACAGUCGGACCUGAGUCCUAGAGGCGAGUAGGACCUGAGUCCUAAAGGACAGUAGAACCUGUGUCCUAGAGGAGAGUAGGACCUGAGUCCUAGAGGAGAGUAGGAUCUGAGUCCUAAAGGACAGUAGAACCUGAGUCCUAGAGGAGAGUAGGACCUGAGUCCUAGAGGACAGUCGGACCUGAGUCCUAGACAACAGUAGGACCUGAGUCCUAAAGGACAGUCGGACCUGAGUCCUAGAAGACAGUAGGACCUGAGUCCUAGAGGACAGUCGGACCUGAGUCCUAGAGGCAAGUAGGACCUGAGUCCUAAAGGACAGUAGGACCUGAGUCCUAGAGGAGAGUAGGACCUGAGUCCUAGAGGAGAGUAGGACCUGAGUCCAGUCGGAACUCUGAAAUGCAGUUGUUGAUGUGAUCACAGAUGAGGGCUGACCCACUUUUUUCUGUCAAACGCGUACAAUUAAAUUUGACCUACAAAUAUUUCCCUGCUUUCAUCUCUAAAAGCCCUAAAACUGCGUAUGUGAGCAUCUGAAACUAAACUCCAUCCACGUGAUUUAUCAGUUGAGCUCGUAUCUGAUGUAAAAGGCCUGUGACAACUCGAUUUCACGCUUGGGAUGGGUCAGCGUUGGGAUACGAGGGUCGGGGUCCUGCUGUGAGUUGACCUUCUGCAGGGACCAUGAGCCGUCCUGGGAGGUUUUGUCCUUUGCAGAUAUGUGGAACAGGAAACCGCCCCCAGCGGAGCCAAAAUGGAGUCCCGCUAGCUGCAUAGACAAUAAAAGCUUUUUCUCCUGAAGCUUGGGAAGGAAUGUGUCUUAUCUGUCCUCGGGGGGAAGACGUGCACGGCACAGGAGGAAUCAACAACGCACCCAAACGAGUGCGUGCACGUUUACAUGCUCUGUCUGCUUCUCUGUGGUUUGUCUGUCUUUCCCCUGAAGCUUCAUCACAUCGACCCCGACAGGAGGUCCGAGCUCACUGACUGACUCACCGUGACUCCUGCUGACAAAGGGAAACUCAACAAGUUCGCAGGAAAGAGGAAGUCAAUGGCCUCAAGUGUUGAGCACAUGAUAAACUCAUGUUUCUUCAUCUUGUAUAUGAAUUCAUGUUCCUCCUUAAUGGAUUCUAGCAUAGAGGCCCCUCAAAGAUGAACUUCCCUCUCCAAAGGCAACACAUUACCUCACAGUCCAGCAGCUCUGUUGCUCAACGACAUCUUUCUUUCACAAUGUCCGAGUGCUUCCUCCUUCUCUCCCUCCUCGUUGUGAAACCGGAGCAGCCCCUGUUGGGUUUCAGGGUUUGUGUGUGUGGGAUGGAGCAGGUCUGAUUAAUGCCAUGUGUUUCUGGAUGUGCAGCGGGGCUGGGCCUCGCUGAGCUGCAGGCCCAGCGCUUAAAGCUGACACAUGUCGGCUGCAGUGGAAGUGACACAGUGUUUAUUGCUUUGGCCUUACUUGGCUUCACACACGUGUUGAUUGUUGUUUGACAAAGCGCCUUUUUCCUCCUGAACAUCCCAGGUGCACACGGAGUCUGAAGAUACCGUGACGCGAGGCAGGAGGCACUGUGAAGUUCCUUCACUCAGGCAGCUGCAUUUUUUAUUUCACGUACAAAACAUGAAGCAGCAAACCCCAGUCGCUUCAACUUUCUCAUUAAACCCUCAAUGAGUUAGCAGCAAA